UACGUAGGGGGCUAGCGUUGUCCGGAUUUAUUGGGCGUAAAGAGCGUGUAGGCGGCCAGGUAGGUCUGCUGUGAAAACUCGAGGCUCAACCUCGAGACGUCGGCGGAAACCAUCUGACUAGAGUCCGGAAGAGGAGAGUGGAAUUCCUGGUGUAGCGGUGAAAUGCGCAGAUAUCAGGAAGAACACCCGUGGCGAAGGCGGCUCUCUGGGACGGUACUGACGCUGAGACGCGAAAGCGUGGGGAGCGAACAGG
rnacentral:rRNA from 1 species